ensembl:lncRNA
GUGCGUGUGAUUGCGGGCGUGCGUGUGGAAUCACGUCUGGUUCCUGGUGGCUGUGGUUCGAACCAGCUGGCGAGCUCAUUACAGUACUCGCUGGGCUAAAGAGGACCUGGGGCCUCUUUCUGAAGGGCCCGGGGCCCUCUCUCUCUCUCUCCUACAGUUCAAGCACUACCUCUUUACCUCCCUCUCCCGCCCUUUUUCUAUCGGUCCGCAAAGCUUUGAAAAAAAAAUAACAAAUACAACCCCCCACACACACACAGACGGCGGUUGGCAUCCAGUUUUAUUUCGAUUUGAGAGAGCAAUCCUCAUCAAGUACAUCAUAAGCCCAGCCGAAUAUUUUUCCAGACAUUCCAAAUUCUGAAAUUCCAAUGCCUUUUGCCCCUAAAAAUGUAAACAUCGUUGCAGAGAGUAGGUCGUUACACAGAGAGUAUGCAGAAGAGAAUAUAUAGUUUCUAUGUACACAAACACUGCAGUGGUACGUCGGCUCUGGAAACUAUGAGUAUAACGAUAUAUAUAUAUAUAUAUAUAUAUAUAUAUGUAUGUAAAAUCUAUAUACGGCAAGGAGAAUGAAAUAUGGCAUUCAUUACGUUGUAUUCGAUAUAAACACAACGCACCAAACACCUAUAGGCUAGGAAUUGAGCGGACGUCUUCGAGCCUGAAAAUUACAUAUUGAUUCAGUACAGCUCAAUAGUCAUUUGCAAUUCCUUUCUUUCUACUUUCUGUUUUUCACUCUUUUUGUACAUUUUCAAGCAGUUACCCCCAGAAGGAGGGCUUGGGCCGGGAAAUCACUUGGAUAAAAAAAGCACAAUACCCUUUUGGACUCCGUCAGAGCACCCUGCCGUGUGGGAUUGUAGCCUAACCUAGCCUUUGUAGCUCAGGUAGGCCUUUCGAGCUUAGCAUUAUUGACAGGCUGCUGUCGUUGAUGAGAUGCUUAGUACAAAGUUAUGUGCGGUAUCGACACCACUAUCGUCUUUAAAGGCAGUUUUCCAGUUUGUUUAGCUGACCUGCAGUAUAUUUCCAAGCUCGCGGCUCAAACAAUACACCGCGAGUUAGAGAUGCAGGUCAACCCUAAGCUUAGCUAAGGCACGUGUAGCCCAGGUGGAGCAUUGCAUUUUCCCUUAUUUUAAAAACAUUUUUAAACGAAAGUCAUAAAAACACUGUUUCCUUCUUUGUUGGUUCAAGGAAACAUCAAGAAUCAAAAGAAAUAAUGGAGGAUCGUUUGAAUACAGAGAUGCAUGUUAUUAGAAAACACAUUCAAUUGAGGCUAUUAUCCACAAUAACACUGCAGAUUCACCUGUAUAUGACAUUAUUCCAUUAAAAACACAUUCAAAAAGGUAUAUCAUUAAAUAUCAUUAUUAGUAUAAAAAGAUUGUCCGUCACGAUAGAAAAAGCAUCUUUAGUCUUCGUAUAUUCCUUUGUUAUGCCGUUAACAUGUAAAAAUCUUAGAAACUAACAGAAAAUGCCAAGGCCUCAAUUCCUAUUUUACGAGCUGUGAAUCUUUGGUUUAACGUUGUUUGAAACACAAACAACCAACAACCAACAACAACAACAACAGAGGAACAGCAUUAGCUCAAGUAAAUGCAGAAUUCCCAAAAUGUAUAGAUGGUUGUUACGGUAACACAGGCCCUGGUGAUUGAAUCAGGGCGGGGCUUAAGGGGCCACUUCCUGUAACAGGGCCCGGCCCGUCGUUGUGAGCUUUCCGCUCAUCUGUACCAGCCUCUACAAAGGACUCACAACGCUGUGGGAGAGGGGUGUGUGUGGGUGAGAGAGGACAUAUGAGUGUGUAUGUGUGUGCAAGAGACUAGGUAUGUGUACGUGUGUGUGUGUGUGUGUGUGUGUGUGUGUGUGUGUGUGUGUGUGUGUGUUGCCCCUCUGUUUCACAACAAUAGGAAUGUCUGCCCGCUAUAGUGUGAGCCAGUGUGUAUUGUGUGUGUGUGUGUGCGUGUGUAAUUCCACGUAACGCAUGACUGUCUUUGUGUUUGUGUGUGUGUGGUUGUGUGUGAGCGCACACAUGAGUGUGUUAAUGUGUACACUCCCUCAAUCUCAUUUCCAUAGAUUUAAUCUCACCUGGUCUAUACCACACACACUAAACAGAGAGCGAGACAGAGAGAGCGAGAGAGAGCGAGAGCGAGAGAGAGAGAGACUGAGGGGUGCCAAGUUUCAAAAGCCAGAGCCCCCUCCAUCAGUGUUGUCAAAAUGGCCGACGAUGACUCAAUGCACUCCACUCCGCGUACCCACGCAUCAUUUCCUGUUACUAUCCGAUGGAUAUCUACAGCAAUUCAGCCAGCAAGUCCAUCAGUGAACCUGUCAGUCAGUCAGCCAACCACCACUCAGUCAGUCAGUCAGUCAGUGAACCAUUCAGUCAGCCACCUCAGUUAUCCAGUCAGUCUACCAGUCAGUCUGUCAGCCAGUCUACAGCCAGUCAGUAAUUCAGUCAGCAACCUUGCCAGUCUAUCAGUCAAUCAGCCAGCCAGUAAUUCAGUCAGCAACCUUGCCAGUCUAUCAGUCAAUCAGCCAGUCAGUAAUUCAGUCAGCAACCUUGCCAGUCUAUCAGUCAGUCAGCCAGUAAGUGAACCAGUCAGUCUUCCAGCCAUUGAGGGAACCAGUCAGUCAGCCUAUCAGUGACCCAGCCAGUCUACCAGUCAGUGAACCAGUCAGUCAGCCUAUCAGUGACCCAGCCAGUCAGCCAGUCAGUGGGUUAGAGACCAAGUGGUUUGGCCUGGUGGGGAGUCGGGGGGCAGACAAUGGUCUCUCUGUGGCUCUGAAGAGCCUCUGGUGUCAAUGUCUCCGCCAGCGACUGAGACAGGCAGAUCCAAGAUGGCGGCUCGCAGAGGGCUCUUCUGGGGCAAGGGACAGUUUGGAUCCUCUUCUCUUUGGUUUGUUUAAAAUGCAUCCUUCCUUCCUGCCUCAGGGGGUGAAAUGUGAAGCUUAUAUUAAGGGGGGGGGAUUGGGAUGUGAACCGUCAAUUUUGAGAGUAGUUUUCUUUUUCCUAUGGAGAGUAAAGGUUGGGGGGAGGGAGUUGUAAGGGCAUGUGAGGUAGGAAUUGCACAGGAAAGCGAGGGAGUGACUGAAAUAGUUGUGCAGUGUCUUUGCUUGGUUGUUUUCCUCCUCUGUUUUCAUGUCCAGCUGGAGUCCAGAUAUCAGCCGGAGAUUGCGAGAUGUUUUUAUAAUGAUCUUCACUCCAGUUCCUGAAGCAGGAGAGGAACAGGAAAGAGAGAAAGAGAGAAAGAGAGA